GUGCUCACUUCAGCAGCACGUAUACUAAAAUUGGAACGAUACAGAGAUUAGCAUGGCCCCUGCACAAGGAUGACAGGCAAAUUUGUGAAGCAUGAAGUGAUGCA